rnacentral:rRNA from 1 species
UAGGGAAUCUUCCACAAUGGACGAAAGUCUGAUGGAGCAACGCCGCGUGAGUGAUGAAGGGUUUCGGCUCGUAAAACUCUGUUGUUGGAGAAGAACAGGUGUGAGAGUAACUGUUCACAUCUUGACGGUAUCCAACCAGAAAGCCACGGCUAACUACGUGCCAGCAGCCGCGGUAAUACGUAGGUGGCAAGCGUUGUCCGGAUUUAUUGGGCGUAAAGCGAGCGCAGGCGGUUUCUUAGGUCUGAUGUGAAAGCCUUCGGCUUAACCGGAGAAGUGCAUCGGAAACCAGGAGACUUGAGUGCAGAAGAGGACAGUGGAACUCCAUGUGUAGCGGUGAAAUGCGUAGAUAUAUGGAAGAACACCAGUGGCGAAGGCGGCUGUCUGGUCUGUAACUGACGCUGAGGCUCGAAAGCAUGGGUAGCGAACAGGAUUAGAUACCCUGGUAGUCCAUGCCGUAAACGAUGAGUGCUAAGUGUUGGA